AACGAACGCUGGCGGCAUGCCUAACACAUGCAAGUCGAACGAAGUCUUCGGACUUAGUGGCGCACGGGUGCGUAACGCGUGGGAAUCUGCCCUUGGGUGCGGAAUAACUUCUCGAAAGGGAUGCUAAUACCGCAUAAUGUCGUAAGACCAAAGAUUUAUCGCCCAAAGGAUGAGCCCGCGUAAGAUUAGCUAGUUGGUGGGUAAAAGCCUACCAAGGCGACGAUCUUUAGCUGGUCUGAGAGGAUGAUCAGCCACACUGGGACUGAGACACGGCCCAGACUCCUACGGGAGGCAACAGUGGGGAAUAUUGGACAAUGGGCGAAAGCCUGAUCCAGCAAUGCCGCGUGAGUGAUGAAGGCCCUAGGGUUG
rnacentral:rRNA from 1 species